rnacentral:lncRNA from 1 species
CCUUGACGAAAGAGAUUUCCAGGAGACUCAGCAUAGAUGUUGAAUCUUCCUAUUGGAGGAGAAGCUGCCGACUCCCUUCUAGUCAUGGCAGAGCACGGAAUUCAGAACAAUUCUACUGGUGAGGACAAGGGUAUCUGCCAAUUCUGAAAUAAAAGGAUCAAAGGCUGAGAAGUUGAGUGGAACUUUUAAAAGACUCAUGGAUCUAAUGGGAUGAAAGUUAAAGCUCACCUCUAUUGUAGUCAGAGUCCUCUCAAAGGACAAAAGCAGAUAUGGCUGCCUUGGAUCAGCUGCACGCAGUGCACUCCCGACCUGGCCGCUGGAGGCGCGGCUCCCAUCACCUGCACCGCGACUGCUAGGGACUGUCAAAGCGGCAGCAUGCCAUCGCCUUCUCCAGCCCUUCUCCAGCAGCACAACCAGUCCUCCCAGCUGGUCCUCUGAGGACCAGCCGUCAUGGCGACGUGGUGGCAAUGUCCCCAGGCAGCCGACCAUCCUGGGCUUCUCUUUGGACAGGCCUGGGCCAGGACCUUAGGGGAUCUCUGUGUCCAUGGUAUAAAUCUGAAUGAGAUCAG